rnacentral:rRNA from 1 species
GGGGGAAAAAUUAAUAAUUAAUUAUAUUAAUAAAAAAAUUUUUAAAAUAUAUUUUAAUGGGGGUUAAAGUAUAUAUAUAGAAAAAAUUUUUAAAUUUAUAGUAAAAUAGUAUUGUAAAAGAAUUUUGAAAUAGGGAAAAUUAAUUCAAUAAAAAGUAAGUUUAAUUUAUUGUAUCUUGUGUAUCAGAGUUUAUUAAUAAUAUUUUUUAAGUAGAAAUUUCUCGAAUUUAAAAGAGUUAAUUAAUUAUAAAAGUUAAUGUAGUAUAAUUAUUUUUAAUAAUUAAUUGGAAAUGAAAUGUUAAUCGUUUUUAAAAAUAUCUAGUUUUUUUAGAAAAAAAUUUAAUUUUAAAUAUUAUAAUUUAAAAUUUUUAUUUAAUAAAAUUUUAAUAGUGUUAAUAUUAAAUAUUUUAAGGGAUAAGCUUUAAAAUAAAUUUUUAUAAUUAAUUUUAAAAUUAAUUAAAAUUUUAAAAUUUAAAUUGUUUAAUAAAUUAUAAUUUUUUAUAAAUAAUUUAAUUAUAAUUAAAAUUUAAUAAAAAAAUUUAAAUUUUUAUAAAAAAAUAUAUUUUAAAAAAAUAGAAUUAAAUAUAAUGAUAAAAUUAGUAUAUAAAUUUAAAUAAAUAAAUAAAUUUAAUUGAAGUUAAUUAAAGGAAUUCGGCAAAUUUUAUAUUCACUUGUUUAUCAAAAACAUGUCUUUUUGAAAAUAAUUUAAAGUCUAAUCUGCCCACUGAUAAAUUAUUAAAGGGCUGCAGUAUUUUGACUGAACAAAGGUAGCAUAAUCAUUAGUCUCUUAAUUGGUGACUUGUAUGAAAGAUUGGAUGAAAUAUAUACUGUCUCUAUUUAAUUUAUAAAAUUUAAUUUUUUAGUAAAAAAGCUAAAAUGAAUUUAAAAGACGAGAAGACCCUAUAGAGUUUAAUAAUUUAUUUAAUUAUUAUUAAUGUAUAAAUUUUAAAAUUAAAAUUGAAUAAAUUAUUUUGUUGGGGUGAUAGAAAAAUUAAAUUAACUUUUUUUUAUUUUAUACAUUAAUUUAUGAAUAAAUGAUCCAUUAAUAAUGAUUAAAAGAAAAAAUUACCUUAGGGAUAACAGCGUAAUUUUUUUUUUUUAGUUCAAAUAGGGAAAAAAGUUUGCGAGCUCGAUGUUGGAUUAAGAUAAAAAUUAAAUGCAAAAGUUUAAAAUUUUGAUCUGUUCGAUCAUUAAAAUCUUACAUGAUCUGAGUUCAAACCGGUGUGAGCCAGGUUGGUUUCUAUCUUUAAAUAAUAAUGAUAUUUUA